GUGCUUGCUCCAGGGGCACUGGUGCUAAAUUUGGAAUGAUAGAGAAGACAAGCAUGGUCCUCAAAUAUGGAUUACACGUCAAUUCCUGAAGAACUCUAUUUUCAA
ensembl:snRNA U6 U6 spliceosomal RNA